rnacentral:piRNA from 1 species
UAGAUAACCCUGAUGGCUAUGUUGAGGU